AGAUCUGCUUCUUCUUGACUAAUUUGGUUUCUGGGAAGACUUCAUUCAGGUCCUCAAUGGUCAUCUGAUCAAAUGGAAUGAUGUUCCUCAUCUUCUCCAACUCUUUUUCACAUUCUUCAACCCUGGCCUUGAAGAGAGACAAAAACUCAGCACAACUGUUCACAUCUUCUUUUUCUUCAGCAUCCACCUGAACAGUAUAUUUAUCCUCUGGCACAGGAAACUUCAGGGCAUUAAACUUCUUCUCAAAGUCAUCUACCAAGCCAGCCUUUGCCACAUUGGCCUUGUAUUAAGCCCCAUUCGAUAGCAGGUGGUUUCUCAGAGGGAGUAGCCGACCUGGAGGCCUUUGCUCUUUGCUUGUGACAACGGCAUUUUCCUUCUGAGCACAGUUACUCCUCAGUUACCAAAGAGAAGAAUGCUGGAAGUCUCUGCCAAGGAGUAAACAAAUGUACACCUCUACCUGAGGGGGAGCGAGGCAAAGGAAUAGAAACCCUGUGUGCAGUUACCACCUGGAAAGCCUGUCAGGAAUGGACUGAGGGUCCCUUUUGGGAGUGAAAGUUGUACUCAUGUCCAUGCUCCCAGGGUGGCAGCAAACACGCGUGUCCUUAGUAUAUCGUAGGUCCUCAAUAAAUAGAGGGAAGACUAGAUAAAGGUGAAUUUCUUUCCCAGUUCAUUUGGAAGGGUGCGGGUAAGAGUUGGAGUCUCAGGCAGACCAGUUCUGUGAGCUUUUUCAUAUUGGAUGGAUCAAGAGUGGCCAUUUCUGAAGAAACUACCUAAAACUUUGCAUGGCCCCAUGGAAAUACUAGUCGGUGAGUUUGGGAUGAAGGUCUAAUGGCAGGUUAGCACAACUGAAAUGAAGGUCCCCUUGAAAGAGGACCGCAAGAAUUCAUUCACCAAGUCCUUUUCCUCAGCCCUGCGUGCACGCGUGCACACUCACACUCCUGGGGAUUGAGAUCAUGCCUCCUACAGGACAUCUGAGCUGCGUUUGGGGACUGAGGUGACAUGCAGGUUUGAGGAGCAGUUGUUUAUUUCCAUGGAUCUGACCUUCUGACAGUAUUUGUAAGACAGUUUGGGGAUAAAGGUGUUUUAGAGCCAGUACCAACAAAAGCUGUGUUUAUGGAUAACAGGGCAAUUGUACAAUAUUACACUGGGAAGAGUUCACACAGCAUCCUGCCAGCCAGUGUUAGGUAUAAGCUCCACCUCCAAACGUCCAUAACAUGGCAAUUCACAAUUCCUACUUCCCUAGACAAAGUGACUCAGUUUCAUCAAAAGUAGGAUCUAGAAAAGCAGUGCAUCUAGGGGGAAGAGAUCUGUUAACUCCCAAUAUAAGGGGCCUCCUGGAGCGUGAGCUAUAGUCCUCACAACAGGUAAUGCUAAUCCCUGGGAAAACUUGAAGAAGUUCCACGCUAGCACCGCACUCAAGGGCCUAAAUGGACCAUCUCAUCUAAUCUUCUAAUCUAAUGCAGCCCCAUGCAUGAGGCACUGCUGGGUCUCCAUCCCCAGAUGCAGGAACAGAGAGCCCCACAACUAAUAAAAAGAUAAAGUAAGCUAAAGAAAGUGAGAUAGGAAAGAUAGACAAUUAACAGGGCAAAGAAAGCCUUUUCCAUUCUUCUUGGAACAGCUGGGCCAAAAUGUCCAUUUUGAUACAUGUCAGAAGAUGGUGUUUUUGAGUAUUAAAAUACCACCAGAUACCCAGAGAUGCCUUUAGGGCUACUCAAAGAAUAGAAGGGUGAUAAGAAAAAGCCACCACACCCAGGAGGAGAAAACACUCUGAAACUCUAAACUUUUGUGAAACUGGAUCAGGGCCAAAUGUCAGCGUUUUUCACCUCUUUCCCAGAUGGCAGGAGGCAUUUCACACCGCUUUUCAUAAUUUCAAUAAAUCUGGUAAGUGAUAUGCGUCCUCUGCAUGCCAAGAGACAUAUAAUAUGUGUAUCAAAAUAGAUGUCUAGGUUGGUUUGUGACAAGAACCAGAUUUCAGCAACUGAAGAGAACAAAUCUUGCCUGGCUUUGGUUCAGUGAAUGGGUGAACGAGAACCAGGAUCACUUUCUGCUUACUUUUUUAUUCCCCUUAAUUUUUAAAUGUUUCUCCUACAUUUGCUUAUUCUCUAAAAACCCCUAUCUUGAUAAUUUCUUUUUGUUAGCAAACGCUUCAUCACUCACAGCCUUAUCUGGCAUUGUUGCCAGCUGAUGGUACAAAGCAUUAGGAUUCGGUAAUUCGUUCAGCAAUCCUGUGAAUAUUUAGCGAGCUCCAGCUCUGUAUCAGGCAUUGUUUUAAGCACUGGGGAUAUUGUAGUGAGCAAAAGAAAGUCCCUGCUUACCCAAAAAGACUGAAAAUAAACAAUGAACAACUUUAUAUGCAAUCUGUCACGUGAUGAUAAAUAAUAAUAUAAAGGAAACUAAAGUGGGGGAGCAUGGAUAAGGAGUGAUGGGGGGGUAUCAAGGGCCUCAAUGACCAAAUAGUAUUUUAUCAGAGACUGUAAGGAAUUAAGGAAGCGAGUUGUGAGAAGAGAGCAUUCUGAUGAGCAAGCAUGGCCAAUGCAAAGGUUCUAGGGUACUAAUUUAUUUAUAUUUAAGGACUAGUAAGGAAGCCAGUGAGGCCAGAACAGAGAAAAGAAUGGGAGAGUAGUAAGUGAUAAGGUCAGAGAGUUCACUGGGCCUUGUGGGCCCAGCUAAGAACUUUGGCUUUUAUUCUGGGUGAGAUGGAAGGAUAGUGGCAGGUUUUGAACAGAAGAAGUAAAUGGUUUGAUUUCUAUUUUCAAAGUUUACUCUGGCUCCUACUGGGUAAUCUGAAGGCAGUGGCAGGGGAGCUGGGACAAGAGUAGAGGCAAGAAGGCUUUUGCAGGAGUCAGAGUAAUGAUGAUACUGACUGGGGCUGUUCUGAAGGCAAAGACUAGAGUCUGCUGAUGGAUAAAUGGUUGAGUGUGAGGGAAUUUGAGAUGAUUUCAUGUUCUGGGGAACCCUGGUUAUGCUUACAAACUUAGCAAAUAAAAUGUAUUGCCUACAACACAAAGCUUGUCACACCCAGGCUGACAGCCCAUUUUAUGUGCUAUUUUGCACACAUUUUGUACAUCAGCAGGGAAACUGGAGCCCAGAGUGUGAUGCUACAGGGCACUGCUGCUGUCAGUCUGUCAUCACAGAUUGUUCUGGAGCUUUCCUAGAAGAUGUGUCCCUUUUAAGUUUCCAUCAAGUAAUUAUAAAAAAGCACAAAAGGGGGGUUUCUUUUUUGAGCCAUUUCAAAGAGUGACUCUACAUUGAACAGUCCUGUUGUAACACUAUUCUUAAUAAAAAGUUAAGAAAGAGAAAGCAAUUUUUCAAGUAAAUUUACAAAAUUGCCAACCUGGGUGUCAACCAGGCAAGCUAAACACUAUGGAUAAGCUACUCUUGUUUUUCCAGAGAAUGGCACUACUUUUUGAUGUUAAAAAUAACAAAUACAGAAGGAAGAUGAGGUGAAGACCUCUGCCAGUUCUUGUCUACGUCUUAAAUGAGUCUGCAGCUUAUAGUCUUGUUGUCCAUUCUAACUCCAGCAAGUACCCUGGAGCUCCUUGGAGGUAGAUCCUGUAUAAUAAUCAUUCAGACUAGACUAUUGUUGGUUGUUCCAGCUGGCCUUCAUUUUCCCUCUGGGUCAUUGCAGGGCCCCUUCUCUCUGGGUGAUUACCAUAUUUUCUGGGAGCAGAUCUAGGCCGUGGGAGUGUAGAGUGAAGCAGAUAGCUCCUGGGGACCACCUAGCUUCUCCUCACCACGGCUGACCUUCGCUGCUGCAGACCACAGGACAGGGAGCAGAUGGCCCAUCACCUUGGCAGUUUCUAACCAUCCUUACCUCCCAAGGAGAACCAUGAAUACAACCUGAGGGACAUCCAGAGGUCCCCUAGACCCAUCUCAGGUGCUGGAUAUUUCUCCCAUCCCCAAGUGAAGAGGUCAGGAUAACACAGGUAGAGUUGCAGAAGUGAAAUCUCCCUAAGGGAGCUUAUUUUUUUUUUGGCUUCAUACACCUUUCCCUUGAUCCAUUUCAUGCUUUGUCUUAGGAAGUACAGUCAUGGAGUAGGAAAUGGUUAGAGGUUCAAAAUGCUAUGGACGAUUUGGGAGUUGGACUGAGGUAUAGAAAUGGUAAUUCUGUUGGCUGCAACAUGUCCUGCUGACAUUGACUUAGGGUUGGCUCCAUUUUGUGUAUUAUGGAAUCCUGUUUAGCCACAGUGGCUUAAGGAAAAGAGACGGUGGUUGAGUUGCUGUGGGAAAAGUGAGGAGGAGGUGGCUGGUGGUAGCUCACCAUGGUUUCUGACAUCGUAAGUGUCCCUGAGGAUCUGACAGGGUUUUACAUAUAUGUCAGAGGCCCUUGUCCUUACCCAAAAAGGCACUUAGGAGAUUUAAGGAAAUUCCAUACCCUUUGCACGACAUCUGAGGAGAAAAGCCCUAAGGAUGCCUAAUCAUCAGGUUAUAUGCUAAUAGUUCAUGUCUGCCUUCUGAAUAACGUCCCAGUUCAAAUAUAAUGGCUUGAUCUUUGUUCAUGUAAUAUAGUAUGGGCAGCCCAAAUCCAUCCACCCCACACUUCCUUCCUUCUUUUCUCUAGUAUUCUUUCUAGAAGGGGACUGCUAUCCUAUUAAGUCCUGGAAUAGUUCAUACCAUGGCCUGCUGUCUCCUGUUCCCAGACACCAUUCUUAGUUCCUAUGUCUGCUCUCCUAGCUUGCUACCACUUCUCCCAACUCUGGACCCUGCUACUCUUCUUUAUCCCUCAAGACACCACUCAGUAAGGUAUCCUGGAGAGUUCUAAAUGUGAAGAAGAGAAUUACAAUGCAGAAAAAAGUCCAAGAGAAAGAAGAGUCAAACAUUUACCAAAACCUCAAGUGAAUCAUCCUAAUUUUAAGCUUAUCUUCUGUAUGUAAAUCUUCUCUCUCCUGAGAACUUUCUUCUCUACUUUACAUUGUCACCUGUCUUGGACUGUCUGGAAAAGCCAAAGUUCUGUUAGUUUAGUAAGAAAAAUAAGUAAAUUCUCUUGUUCCACUUGAGUCUAGGCUCUAGCCCAGGAAGGCUAAGAGUGUUCAUUGCCCGUGACCACGAAAGCUCAUUAAGCUAUGGUGGACGUAGAAUAAAGUGUAGGCCUUGCCAGACUCACAGUGUGAGCUCUGAACCACUUCCCCAUACUGCUUUCUUACUUUCCCUCCAUUCUCCAGGCUCAGCAGAGCGAGGGCGAGACAACAAAGGAAGGCUGGGGAGAAAACUCUUCUCCUCCAUCUCUCUCCACAAGGCAGAAGUCACCAGUGAGAACCAAACAUUUCAUCCAAGGAAACACACCUCAUGUCUAUACACACUUGUUUGGUCUCUGUCCAAACCUUUAUUUGCCAUGACUCCAGCCAUGGUCCAACUGGGGUGUGGACCAGUUCUGGCUCUGGUGUCUCUUGUGUGAACAAGCCACUGAGAGCCCAGACAACUCCAGCUGAGCUGUUAAAGUCACAGCAGUGACUGGGACUGCACUCCUAAUAGCCUCCUGUUGCUUCCUCUCCUGGACUUUCUCUGCUCAGUUCCCCAUGCUCAACUCUGAGACCUUGUAAAUGUGUAUCAUACAGAGGCUAAGCAAAUGUUUACAGUGAACCUUUACACAGAAUCCAGAAAAGUUCCCUAAUCCAUAAAAGUUUCCUAGCAAAAACAAGCUCGCCCCGUUCAAGGUAUGCCCACUCUGCUGCCUGUGUGCUGGCUGAAUGUCUCUUUUCAAAAGCUGGAAGGCUCGCCUGCAGCCAAGUGUCCAUGUUUAUGGUCUCUGUGAGGUUUUCACAGUGACGACCUUCAUUCAGAUGGAGUAUAGUCAUCUUUCAUGAUCGCCAUAAAUCAGAGAACUGCCUAUGUCAAGGAGGGUUAGAUUGCUCUGGGGGGUUCUCUUUCGGAGUUUAAAAACAGAGGGGGAAGAAAGGUACUUUACAUGUAGUGAAAAACGCAGGGGGGAGGAAUGUUAUGAAUUUUGUUCUGAAAAAUUCAGCUCAACAGUUUGAAUAGGGCCAAUAUUUAGGCUACAGUAUUUGGCUGGAUCUAUUAUGCAAUUCAUCUUCCUGCAAGCAGAUACAAAUGAUCUGACCCAGAGCCAAUUUAUUUUUGUGGAGUUAAAUUAGUCACUAUUUACAAGCUGAAGAGUUUUCAAAAAGGCUGUUUAAGGAGGGUGCCAUUACUUUUUCUAGUAUGUUUGCCUUUCUAUCAUUCUGGAUUGUUUUUGUUUGAUUGUGGUUUCUGGGUAAAAUAGUGGGUGCUAUUUGUAAACAUGGGCAAGAUAAUUUCAACUUUCUGAGGACUUGGAUCAUUGAUCUUUAAAAUGGGGGUGACACAUUCCAAAACUAGGCUGGGCGAGGAUAUGUGGGUUCGAGGUCUGAGUCAGCUGUGCAAGUAGAGCCAAAUGUUACCUGGAUGUAGGUUUUAAUUAGAGGCAAGAACGGAAGAGGACUUCAUUUCCCAGCAUGGCUUGGAUCCCCUUCCUGAGUUCUUUCCCAAAUAGAACUAGAGCUAAAGAAAGAGAUGUCAAAGAAAUGAUCUAAUCAAACAUCUGCUGUGACAGAGAGGCUGAAGUUAUAUGAAGUCUCACUCCUUGGCCUCCCACCCCAGCUUUUGCAAAAUUACCCACCCUUUCUGAUUCCUUUUCCUCCAACUUCAUUUCAGCAAACUAAUUCUGGUGACCCUAGGGAAGAAUGCCAUGGUAUCGUAGAGUGUUCAGCUGAAAGAUCUUAGCAACCUUUUGUUAGGCAACUUUCUUUUGCAAAAUGGAAGGCAAGAGGGGAAGAGAGCCUGCAGAGUUAGAGAAUAUCAAAGUUAGGUUUAGAACUCAACUCUUCAGACUCUGUGGCCUCCCAUAGGACUAUUCAAGACAACUGUAGGUGAGUUACUGGUUUCAGAGGGUAGGAGUUGGAUGUGGCAGGCUGAAGCCAAUUUCCCCCCACUGCUUCCCCCACUUCCUCCCUCCCCAACUUCAAACCUCCUGCUGCUGAAGUCCUACCUAGUCCCCUCACCUACCCAUCUGCAGUUAAAGAUCAGAUUGCAUAACUUCUUUCCCACACCUGGGCUGCUCCAAGAAUAGGAGUUUCUGCAACAUUUCUCCCUGCUCAUCUCUCCUGCUGGCUCCUGCCUGAAUGGUAUCAAGCACUCAGUGCCCAGUAACCAGAAAUCACUUAUGCCUCUCCCAAAAUGCCUGAUUUGUAUCCAGAUUUUAUCCCAUCAUCUAGUAGGAUUCAUCCAAAUAUUUGUAAAUUAUAGCAUUCAGGAAAGAAGUAAGUGGCAACUUUUUGACCACAGGAAAAAUAGCAGGUUGUUCCUGUCAUCCUCCUCCUCCCAGGCACUUUCUUUAACUGCCACAAUUGUGCUCUACCAGUACUGGCUGUGCUCCAGGAUCCUCUUUCUUGCUCUCUGUUCAGGAUGCCCACAACCUUCUGCCUCCACCAGACAGGGAAAGCCACCCUAUCUGUCCCCUCAGAGUUAUGCAACAAAUAAACAAAGUGCAAAAUAAAGAGCCAUGUUGUUUAGAAUACACUGUGGGGCACAUAGUUGCCUUUCCAUGAGUAUCUAUGGAAUGGAUGAAUGUUGCUCUCUCUAGAAUUGGAAAGAACCAUCAGCCUUCUUCCCAAAUGUUUUCAACUCAGCAUACUGAUGGAUUUUUUCCAUGGCAACAGAGCUCUUAUUAUCAUAAAAGUCAACUGGAAAAUAUCAUCUGCUCUACCAACAUUUGCUCUAUUUCCAAGCCUGCUAGACAGCAUCUAUUCCAUAAAUCAAGAAAUAGAUCUCUUUGUGAAAUUUUCGUAGAAUAAUCACAAAGACUAUCUCGAGCCACAUAAAACUCCCUUAUUCGGCAACGAUUCUUAAAAAAAAAAAAAAAAA